rnacentral:misc_RNA from 1 species
AAGGAUCAUUAAUGAAAUUAUAAUCCGGCGAGGGGAAAGGCGGAGAGUUGUAGCUGGCCUCUAGGGGCAUGUGCACGCUCUCUUCCGGACCUUUCGCCGUAUGGGCGCGGGGCGACCCGCGUCUUCAUAUACCUCUUCGUGUAGAAAGUCUUUGAAUGUUUUACCAUCAUCGAGUCGCGACUUCUAGGAGACGCGAUUCUUUGAGAAAAAAGUUAUUACAACUUUCAGCAACGGAUCUCUUGGCUCUC